rnacentral:rRNA from 1 species
GUAGGAGGCAAGCGUUAUCCGGAUUUACUGGGCGUAAAGCGCGUGUAGGCGGCUUCGUAAGUCGGACGUGAAAGCUCCCGGCUCAACUGGGAGAGGCCGUUCGAAACUACGAGGCUAGAGGGCAGAAGAGGGAGGUGGAAUUCAGGGUGUAGCGGUGAAAUGCGUAGAUAUCCUGAGGAACACCAGUGGCGAAGGCGGCCUCCUGGUCUGCUUCUGACGCUCAGACGCGAAAGCUAGGGUAGCGAACGGGGGAUUAGAAACCCCGGUAGUCCUAGCCGUAAACGAUGCGAACUUGGUGUUGGUGGCUUAAACACAAUCAGUGCCCGCAGCUAACGCGAUAAGUUCGCCGCCUGGGGACUACGGCCGCAAGGCUA